GGAUAACAUUCUGAAAAGAAUGCUAAUACCGCAUGACAUAUCGGAACCACAUGGUUCUGAUAUCAAAGAUUUUAUCGCUUGAAGAUGGACUCGCGUCCGAUUAGUUAGUUGGUGAGGUAACGGCUCACCAAGACCGCGAUCGGUAGCCGGACUGAGAGGUUGAACGGCCACAUUGGGACUGAGACACGGCCCAGACUCCUACGGGAGGCAGCAGUGGGGGAUAUUGCGCAAUGGGGGCAACCCUGACGCAGCAACGCCGCGUGAAGGAUGAAGGUUUUCGGAUUGUAAACUUCUUUUAUUAAGGACGAAAAAUGACGGUACUUAAUGAAUAAGCUCCGGCUAACUACGUGCCAGCAGCCGCGGUAAUACGUAGGGAGCAAGCGUUGUCCGGAUUUACUGGGUGUAAAGGGUGCGUAGGCGACUUUGCAAGUCAGAUGUGAAAUCUAUGGGCUCAACCCAUAAACUGCAUUUGAAACUGUAGAGCUUGAGCGAAGUAGAGGCAGGCGGAAUUCCCCGUGUAGCGGUGAAAUGCGUAGAGAUGGGGAGGAACACCAGUGGCGAAGGCGGCCCGCUGGGCUUUAACUGACGCUGAGGCACGAAAGCGUGGGUAGCAAACAGGAUUAGAUACCCUGGUAGUCCACGCUGUAAACGAUGAUUACUAGGUGUGGGGGGUCUGACCCCUUCCGUGCCGGAG
rnacentral:rRNA from 1 species